UGGGGAUGACGUCAAGUCAGCAUGGCCUUUAUGUCUGGGGCCACACACGUGCUACAAUGGCCGGUACAAACCGUCGCGAUCUCGCGAGAGGGAGCUAAUCGGAGAAAGCCGGUCUCAGUUCGGAUUGUAGGUUUAAUCGUCGCCUGCAUGAAGUUGGAAUCGCUAGUAAUCGCGGAUCAGCACGCCGCGGUGAAUACGUUCCCGGGCCUCGGCUCUCCGCCCGUCACAUCACGAAAGCCGGCUGUACUUGAGCCGCUCGCUAACCCGCAAGGGGGGCAAGCGCCUAAGGUA
rnacentral:rRNA from 1 species